UUAUUGGAGAGUUUGAUCCUGGCUCAGGACGAACGCUGGCGGCGUGCCUAAUACAUGCAAGUCGAGCGAGGGUCUUCGGACCCUAGCGGCGGACGGGUGAGUAACACGUAGGCAACCUGCCUCUCAGACCGGGAUAACAUAGGGAAACUUAUGCUAAUACCGGAUAGGUUUUU
rnacentral:rRNA from 1 species